rnacentral:rRNA from 1 species
GUACGGGAGGCAGCAGUGGGGAAUUUUGGACAAUGGGGGCAACCCUGAUCCAGCCAUGCCGCGUGAGUGAAGAAGGCCUUCGGGUUGUAAAGCUCUUUCGGACGGGACGAAAAGGUUAGCGUGAAUAACGCUGACUAAUGACGGUACCGUAAUAAGAAGCACCGGCUAACUACGUGCCAGCAGCCGCGGUAAUACGUAGGGUGCGAGCGUUAAUCGGAAUUACUGGGCGUAAAGCGUGCGCAGGCGGUUCGCCAAGUCAGGUGUGAAAUCCCCGGGCUCAACCUGGGAAUUGCGCUUGAAACUAGCGAGCUUGAGUGUGGCAGAGGGGGGUGGAAUUCCACGUGUAGCAGUGAAAUGCGUAGAGAUGUGGAGGAACACCGAUGGCGAAGGCAGCCCCCUGGGUCAACACUGACGCUCAUGCACGAAAGCGUGGGGAGCAAACAGGAUUAGAUACCCUGGUAGG